UACAGUGAUCAGGUUACGACGGA
rnacentral:miRNA from 4 species